rnacentral:rRNA from 1 species
GAUGAACGCUGGCGGCGUGCCUAAUACAUGCAAGUCGAGCGAACGGACGAGAAGCUUGCUUCUCUGAUGUUAGCGGCGGACGGGUGAGUAACACGUGGAUAACCUACCUAUAAGACUGGGAUAACUUCGGGAAACCGGAGCUAAUACCGGAUAAUAUUUUGAACCGCAUGGUUCAAAGGUGAAAGACGGUCUUGCUGUCACUUAUAGAUGGAUCCGCGCUGCAUUAGCUAGUUGGUAAGGUAACGGCUUACCAAGGCAACGAUGCAUAGCCGACCUGAGAGGGUGAUCGGCCACACUGGAACUGAGACACGGUCCAGACUCCUACGGGAGGCAGCAGUAGGGAAUCUUCCGCAAUGGGCGAAAGCCUGACGGAGCAACGCCGAGUGAGUGAUGAAGGUCUUCGGAUCGUAAAACUCUGUUAUUAGGGAAGAACAUAUGUGUAAGUAACUGUGCACAUCUUGACGGUACCUAAUCAGAAAGCCACGGCUAACUACGUG